rnacentral:miRNA from 1 species
UCACCGGGUAUGAAUCAGUUAG